UGCACAUAUUUGUCCCAGAGCUGCUCUGCCCUGCUGCCUAGCCUGUAAUAGCACAAGUCCUGGGGACUUGAAAUUUGUAAUGCAGGGUGUUGUUGGGCUAUAGCUUGUAUUUGUUGAUUGCCCUAACAUUUUUGGUGCUGUUAAGUUGUCCUGCAGCUGUUUUACACUAGUCCUAACAUCCUUUCAGAUGCAGAAUGUUCAAAUCAGUGGCAGCGAGCCCCAGUCCUGGGUGAGGGUGUUGCCAUGAGCAGGAGGUCCAGGCAGAUAGCAGCAGUGAAGGCCCAGUGUCCAAGGGAAGCCACUUGGAGUAUUGCAAGCCCCUGUCACCAGCUGGCCGAUGGACUGGGUUUCCUGCGUCUGUGAGUCCUCUGGAAGUAUUUCAGGACUCUUGAGAUGAAACCUUGAAAUUUUGUAUUUCAAGAUGGCAUCCGGGCAGCCUUUUGCAAUGGCCGAGGAGUUGCGGUGAGACGCCGAGAUAGGGAGGGGGAGCCAAGGUCCAUUUAGGUUUCAGCAGUGGCGAGUCACUUUGUCUCUUCUUAACCCAGGCAGACCCUGCGAUGACGGUGGCAGCCUCCGAGCAUUGCCAAAGUGUGGGGCCUGAGCAACCGGGCAUUCUUAG